CCUGGUACCCCUUCAGCGAGGAGACCGACCUCCUCGUUGUCGUCUUCCUUCCCCACGAGGAUGGCGUGAGCCGUGGUCCUCCCUCCCUUGUCCAACCAGCCUGGCCUCCACCUGCUCCCUCCCCUUCUUAUCCUCCCCCAGGAACCCUAGCAUCCCCUCUCUUCCUCCUCCCUCGCGCCGCCGUCGCCAGUUCAUCCUCUUCCCCUCUCUGUUUCCUUUUCUCAACCACCGAGCGCACCACCACCGCCUCGCCGUCGCCCCACCGCCACAAACCCUCCCCCGUCGAACCGAGGGCACCAUCUCGUGCGCAUCGUCGUCCCCUACCUCCAGGUGCGCGGAAUCGAACCGGGAGGCCCUCAAUCGAGCGCGAACUCGCGGAUUCCGUUCUCAACCCCGGCGGCAACAAUCACCGAUUCCGGCGACCACCGACCUCCUCCGGCCAAACCAUCGACACCUCGAGCUACCGGUUGCUCGUCGCCGGCGCCCCUCCGACGAUCUCCAACCGGCGGCGCCGCCUCCAUCUUGUCCGCAUCGACGAGGCGCGUCGAACGGUACCCCGCACGCGUCCAGGGACCCUCAACAUCGGCCGCACGCGCGACGUCUGCCGCCGGUGACCACCGCAUCUGGAACGCGAGCGGCGUCUCUUCAUCAAGCACCUUCAGCGCGUUGCAGACAUGCUUCGCCACGUCGACUUCCACCUCAGCGCCGGGCCCCACCUGUCAGCGCCUCGGGCUAACCAGCCCCGCGCAUUUGCUUCUUCCCGGAUAGGAUCGCGAAGUGGUGUGGUGAGAUACGACGAGUUCUCCGGAUGUUCCUCAGCAAGCUUUAACAGGCAAGCAUUUCCCUUAUACUCCUGCCCCUGCAGAAGUCGCUCACCUAUUUUAUUUUGCCUUCUCCCUCAUGCUAUCCUUAAGUUGCGUUCUUGUCACGUGUCCCUUCCACUUGUUACCUCAAGCGACCUAUAUUGCCUCCACCAACCACCUACGACUAUUGUUUGGUUAUCGGGUCCGCCUUGCGAGUCGUAGUGCAUGCUAGCGCUGUUUAUAUCGUGUUACCAUUACUGCUAUCUUAUCGGGUUAUCUGUUGGGGAACAUGACACAUGGUUUAUGGAUAUAUAUGUUAAGGAUAUCAUGGUUACUUGUUAAUAGUUGCUAGCGGAGGCAUCGGUGGGUCAGUUGCUCGUUUUAUGACGGCUCACUUGUGUUUCCAUGAAAUCUAGGACCCCGA